CAUACAGUAGGGAAGUAAAGGCACUUCCUCCUUCUUACCAGCCACACUGGUUGCGCCCAAACUAAUUUAAUAGGAAGUCGGAUACUCGUGUCAAUGGAGAGCCAGCAGCUUGUCAUGAGUUGUCUAAACUAACUUCUUUGCGUUUCAACCGACAGCCAAAUGUUACCGAGUUCAAUCGGUAAAACCAUCCAGUUGUAGUGCGUAAAAGUGGUCGGAGCGCAGCUCUUUCAGCCACAAUGGCUGCGACGUAGCGCAACUUUUAGAUCCACGGUGGAUAAACGACAGCACUCCGAGGUGCUGCUAACCUAUACACACUUGCAGGAGACACACAAGAAAAAGACAUGAAGAAACAGUUUAAUCGCAUGAAGCAACUUGCCAACCAGACAGUUGGAAGGGCUGAGAAAACUGAGGUGCUAAAGGAUGACCUCCUACAGAUCGAGAGGCGGUUGGAGUUGGUGCGUUUGGUGUCACACAACACACACAAGAGGCUGGUGUCCUGCCUGCAGGGUCAGUUGGGCACAGACACAGAGAAGAGACAUAAAAAGCUGCCCCUGACAACGCUGUCCCAAGCCAUGCAGGAGGGAGGCAGUCAGCUGGGAGACGAGAGUCUGUUUGGCAAGAUGAUGGAUGUGUGUGGGGAGGCUGAAGGCAAGCUAGCGGCUGAACUGAUGCACCAUGAAGUCCAGAUUGAGAGAGACAUCCUAGAUCCUCUCAACCAGCUGGCUGAGAUCGAGAUUCCCAAUAUACUAAAACAGCGAAAACAACUCGCCAAACUGGUUCUGGACUAUGAUUCGGCCAAGACGAGGUGGUUCCAAGCGACAAAGUCCAACAACCAGGCUAUGGCAGCUAAGACUGAUUCCCUUAAAGACGAGAUGGAUGAGGCUCUCAACAAAGUAGAAAUAUGCAAGGACCAGCUUGCUGCAGACUUGUACAACUUUGGAUCCAAAGAGGGAGAUCAUGCACGCUAUUUUGUCAUGUUAUUAGAGGCGCAGGCAGACUACCACAGGAGGUCUCUGGCAGCUCUGGAAGCAGCUAUACCGACUAUCCAAUUACAGCAAGACUGCUGGAUGGAGAAGCCAGCAUUCGGCAUGGCUCUAGAGGAGCACCUGAAGAGGAGUAACCGUGAGAUUGCACUGCCUAUGGAGGCCUGCGUCAUGAUGCUGCUGGAGACCGGCAUGAAGGAGGAGGGUCUCUUCAGAAUAGCUGCCGGAGCUUCCAAACUGAAAAAGCUGAAAGCUGCGCUGGACUGCUCCACCUCGCAGCUUGAGGAGUUCUACUCUGAUCCCCAUGCCGUUGCCGGAGCCCUGAAAUCCUACCUCAGGGAACUUCCUGAACCUCUAAUGACUUUUGGCCUGUACGAUGAGUGGACACAAGCCUCCAAUGUGUCUGACCCUGACAAGAGGCUUCAGGCCUUGUGGGUGACAUGUGACCAUUUGCCAAAGAAUCACAAAGCAAACCUCAGGUAUCUGGUGAAAUUUCUGGCUAAACUGGCUCAGAACAGUGAGGUUAAUAAGAUGACUCCCAGCAACAUCGCCAUAGUCCUUGGGCCCAACCUGCUAUGGGCAAAGACUGAGGGGACGCUGGCAGAGAUGGCAGCAGCCACAUCUGUCCAUGUGGUCGCCAUCAUUGAGCCUAUUAUCCAGCAUGCUGAUUGGUUCUUCCCUGAAGAGGUGGACUUCAAUGUGUCGGGCAUGUUUGCCAUGCCCACCCACUCAGCCAUGCCAGACCCCGAUCCCAAUCUGGAUAGGAAACGCCCAGGCAGCCUAGUGGGGCAGGAUGGGGAGAGUCACACCCCCCGUAAAGACAGCACUGUUAACAAACAGCCGGAGCCCACUCCACGUAGAACCAACACUGUAAAUAGAAAGCAGCAACAGCUAACCACGCCUACCUUCCAACCCCCAUUACCCCCUCUGGAAGCCGGGGGUCCUCCCCAGCCUGAGCCCCUGCCCCAGCUCCUGUCCCCAACUACGGAGGCUGAGCAGCCUGGCUUGAGGGGUGCUAGUAGUGGGGUUUGUGGUGGUCUGGGUGGUGGGGUCCAGGUAGCCACAGUGCAUCCUCAGGUUGUAACCCAGCUCAGCGCAGAGGAGAGCAGCCCAGCCCGUGAGUUCUUGUCCACCCCUCCUCCCCAGAGGAAUGGUUCAGUAAAUCUAACAGUAGGAAGCCCCCACUCUCAAGGUGGAUCCAGGGGGCCUAGUCCACACAUGGUUCGCAGAGGCACAAAAAAGCAGGCCCCAGCCCCGCCCAAACAGUCCAGUGCCAUUGCCUCCCAGCCAAGCAACACCCAGAUAUCCGGCUCCACUCAUCACCCACCCAUCACCCCCAGGCGCCACCUCGGCAAAGACAGCCCAAUCCAUGCCCCGAGCCACCCGCCUCCACAACCCCCUCAGUCAGAGCCUUCUCCCCCCCGCACUCCCACCCCUCCUGACACUCCGCCUCAUGAUGGAUCGCACUCCAUCCCGCUGUCUUUCUACCACUCUGGGUCCCUCCCUCGCCCCUCCAGGCCGGCACCCAGACCACGGCCCCGACCCAGCAUGCCGCCGCCCCCACAACCUGCAGUCAAUGCCACUGACGACGGUAAUGGCCUGUGCGGCUCCGCCUCCAAAAUAAUAACGGGCAUUGCAACGACUGGAAUCACUUGCUGAAUGUCUGCUAUAACUUUAUUCUGUAUUAAGUAAUUUCAGCUUCUUCUCUAUUUAUCUUUCUGGCUUUUGGUUUCACUGUCUCAUAGUGCCUCACACACUAAAUGUAAUUGUGGUGAUCUGAUGCAUGACAGGAAAUGUGUAAAUAUUACAGAUGUCUGAGCUGCUGGUCUGCCUGUAAGAUGAGCUUUGCAAGGCAGGUAAUGACGGAGGCCUAUUCCUAAAGGGGACUGGACGAGCCCUUAUCCCUGAGGUGAUUGCGGACCAACAAGGGGAGAGCUCUGCUGGUCAAGAGCCCACCACUACCCCAGCCCAGCAACUAAACCCUCAGAUCCAGACAGAGUUCACCGCUCUGUGAAGAAAAAGAGGGAUCGCUCUUAUCAAAAUCUUCCUUCACACAGCUAGUUUAUGUAACAGAUUUGAAUGUUUAUAUUCAAAUAUUGACUGGUAACUCAAAUGCUUCGGUUCACUCCAGCUCCUCUUGCUCCACUCACAGGAUGCCAGAGUGCUUUCUGGAGGAAAAAUUGGCUGCCUUUUUUAUCUGUUUUUCUGAGAUUCAAACCAGAGACCUCAAAACCACAAAACUCAUGUACAGCUAUUAGCUUUAUAUCACUCUCCUUUUGUUCUAAAUACUGCUGGGUGUUUGCAGAUUGGAUGGCAGGACAGCGGAACGCUUAUUGGACUUAAUCUGAAUAUACUGUAUAGUAGCUCAACUCAACAGGUGAUAAGAUUUCACUUGUCUCCUUUUUUUUUUUUAUCUUGCUGUGGAUACUAUAGAUAUGAAUGUUUUUGGAGACAGUAAUCUGUGAAUCUGGUUUUAGCACCACAUAGACCCGACAACUAGUAUUUCAUUGAGAAAAGUUGUGUGGCGAUAUUUGAGUGUCAGCCACUGAUGAUCUGUUUGUCAUUUUCCAAUUUAUCAGUUUCAAUUGGCUUUUUUAGAAGGGCUUUUCAAUAAUUGUCACACACUUCAGCACCGCACUAAACAUACUAGUGUAAAGGACCAAAGAAAUGGAAAUGGGCCAAAGAAAAUU